rnacentral:tRNA from 1 species
GCGGGUAUAGUUUAGUGGUAAAACCUCAGCCUUCCAAGCUGAUGAUGUCGGUUCGAUUCCGUCUACCCGCACCA